rnacentral:rRNA from 1 species
CGGCGGACGGGUGAGUAAUGCCUAGGAAUCUGCCUGGUAGUGGGGGAUAACGUUCGGAAACGGACGCUAAUACCGCAUACGUCCUACGGGAGAAAGCAGGGGACCUUCGGGCCUUGCGCUAUCAGAUGAGCCUAGGUCGGAUUAGCUAGUUGGUGAGGUAAUGGCUCACCAAGGCGACGAUCCGUAACUGGUCUGAGAGGAUGAUCAGUCACACUGGAACUGAGACACGGUCCAGACUCCUACGGGAGGCAGCAGUGGGGAAUAUUGGACAAUGGGCGAAAGCCUGAUCCAGCCAUGCCGCGUGUGUGAAGAAGGUCUUCGGAUUGUAAAGCACUUUAAGUUGGGAGGAAGGGUUGUAGAUUAAUACUCUGCAAUUUUGACGUUACCGACAGAAUAAGCACCGGCUAACUCUGUGCCAGCAGCCGCGGUAAUACAGAGGGUGCAAGCGUUAAUCGGAAUUACUGGGCGUAAAGCGCGCGUAGGUGGUUUGUUAAGUUGGAUGUGAAAUCCCCGGGCUCAACCUGGGAACUGCAUUCAAAACUGACUGACUAGAGUAUGGUAGAGGGUGGUGGAAUUUCCUGUGUAGCGGUGAAAUGCGUAGAUAUAGGAAGGAACACCAGUGGCGAAGGCGACCACCUGGACUAAUACUGACACUGAGGUGCGAAAGCGUGGGGAGCAAACAGGAUUAGAUACCCUGGUAGUCCACGCCGUAAACGAUGUCAACUAGCCGUUGGAAGCCUUGAGCUUUUAGUGGCGCAGCUAACGCAUUAAGUUGACCGCCUGGGGAGUACGGNCGCAAGGUUAAAACUCAAAUGAAUUGACGGGGGCCCGCACAAGCGGUGGAGCAUGUGGUUUAAUUCNAANCAACGCGAAGAACCUUACCAGGCCUUGACAUCCAAUGAACUUUCUAGAGAUAGAUUGGUGCCUUUCGGGAACAUUGANACAGGUGCUGCAUGGNUGUCGNCAGCUC